rnacentral:tRNA from 1 species
GGGAGGGGACUUGUGGCGCAGUGACAGCGUAUAUGUCUUGAAUACAGAAGGUCUCAGGUUCAAUUCCAGCAUCUCCCA